UUAGCUGACCAACCCCUGUUUGGAAGGACAUUUCCUGCCUCCACCCUUUCCCCUCAGAGCACAGCAGAUUCACAAGAGGUUGGUGGCGUGAGGUGCCGCUGUCCCACGGGACUGGGAUUAGAGCAGACUCAUCGCAGCUCUCUCUCCUGCCCAGCCCACCAUGGAUUGCAAAUACAUUGGCUUUGCAUUCCUCGUGGGACUUGUCAUUGGAGCUGUAUUAAUAGCCGUGGCAAGUGGUGCGCCAGUGGCCGCCAUGGGGGUUACCACGGCCAAGGCUGCUGCCUUCGCUUUCAUGGUCGGGGCAGUAUAAAUGGUCUGACUCUGCCCUUCGAGCAGCAACUGGUUGCAUAAUGAUUCUCCAUGAUCCAUGCAAGGGAACAAAAGCAAGAUUCCUUCCUUCCAUGCACCCUUAUUCAUCUUCAAACGGCAGAUGCUGGAAACUCAAAUCCUUCCCACAGCUUCCGCUUUAAGCAGUUUGGAUUCAUUUUACUCAAAAUUAAUCAUGUUGAGCAAUAAAUGAACAGUGCCAGCA